rnacentral:rRNA from 1 species
AAUGUUGGACAAUGGGGGCAACCCUGAUCCAGCCAUGCCGCGUGUGUGAAGAAGGACUUAGGAUUGUAACGCACUUUAAGUUGGGAGGAAGGGCUUUAGGUUAAUACCCUGAAGUUUGGACGUUAUCAACUGCAUCAGCACCUGCUAACUCUGUGCCAGCAGCCGCGAUAAUACAGAGGGUGCAAGCGUUAAUCGGAAUUACUGGGCGUAAAGCGCGCGUAGGUGGUUCAGUAAGAUGGGUGUGAAAUCCCCGGGCUUAACCUGGGAGCUGCUUUCAUAACUGCUGAGCUAGAGUACGGUAGAGGGUAGUGGAAUUUCCUGUGUAGCGGUGAAAUGGGUAGAUAUAGGAAGGAACACCAGUGGCGAAGGCGACUACCUGGACUGAUACUGACACUGAGGUGCGAAAGCGUGGGGAGCAAACA